CUGCAGCUCACCCGUGGUCCUGUUUGUCCUGCAGGUUAGUGAGUAGCAUCAGGAGGAGGAGCUCAAGCACGACCACCAAGAGGCACCAUCGCAGCAGCAGAUGAGUCCGUCGAUGAAGCGGCAGCGUCUCCUCUAGAGGGUGAUGGUGGCGGCGGCGCCGGCGCCUGUGUGCGGCUUCGACUACAACCUCCUCUCCGGUGCCACCGGACGCAAGGGUGGAGCCUAUGCCUCCUUGCUGAAGCUUCUCGCUCUACACCAGUUUAUGGUGCUGCGGAUGUGGUUAAGAUGGCGUUCUACACUAUGCUUCUUAUGUUGCAUGUGAAUGGGGGUGAGUAGAUAGAACUGGAGUGUUCUCAUAGGAAUGCAAGUUGUUGCAUCCGG